rnacentral:rRNA from 1 species
GGGUUGUGAGGUUAAGCGACUAAGCGUACACGGUGGAUGCCCUGGCAGUCAGAGGCGAUGAAGGACGUGCUAAUCUGCGAUAAGCGUCGGUAAGGUGAUAUGAACCGUUAUAACCGGCGAUUUCCGAAUGGGGAAACCCAGUGUGAUUCGUCACACUAUCAUUAACUGAAUCCAUAGGUUAAUGAGGCGAACCGGGGGAACUGAAACAUCUAAGUACCCCGAGGAAAAGAAAUCAACCGAGAUUCCCCCAGUAGCGGCGAGCGAACGGGGAGCAGCCCAGAGCCUGAAUCAGUGUGUGUGUUAGUGGAAGCGUCUGGAAAGGCGCGCGAUACAGGGUGACAGCCCCGUACACAAAAAUGCACAUGCUGUGAGCUCGAUGAGUAGGGCGGGACACGUGGUAUCCUGUCUGAAUAUGGGGGGACCAUCCUCCAAGGCUAAAUACUCCUGACUGACCGAUAGUGAACCAGUACCGUGAGGGAAAGGCGAAAAGAACCCCGGCGAGGGGAGUGAAAAAGAACCUGAAACCGUGUACGUACAAGCAGUGGGAGCCUCUUUAUGGGGUGACUGCGUACCUUUUGUAUAAUGGGUCAGCGACUUAUAUUCUGUAGCAAGGUUAACCGAAUAGGGGAGCCGAAGGGAAACCGAGUCUUAACUGGGCGUUAAGUUGCAGGGUAUAGACCCGAAACCCGGUGAUCUAGCCAUGGGCAGGUUGAAGGUUGGGUAACACUAACUGGAGGACCGAACCGACUAAUGUUGAAAAAUUAGCGGAUGACUUGUGGCUGGGGGUGAAAGGCCAAUCAAACCGGGAGAUAGCUGGUUCUCCCCGAAAGCUAUUUAGGUAGCGCCUCGUGAAUUCAUCUCCGGGGGUAGAGCACUGUUUCGGCAAGGGGGUCAUCCCGACUUACCAACCCGAUGCAAACUGCGAAUACCGGAGAAUGUUAUCACGGGAGACACACGGCGGGUGCUAACGUCCGUCGUGAAGAGGGAAACAACCCAGACCGCCAGCUAAGGUCCCAAAGUCAUGGUUAAGUGGGAAACGAUGUGGGAAGGCCCAGACAGCCAGGAUGUUGGCUUAGAAGCAGCCAUCAUUUAAAGAAAGCGUAAUAGCUCACUGGUCGAGUCGGCCUGCGCGGAAGAUGUAACGGGGCUAAACCAUGCACCGAAGCUGCGGCAGCGACACUGUGUGUUGUUGGGUAGGGGAGCGUUCUGUAAGCCUGCGAAGGUGUGCUGUGAGGCAUGCUGGAGGUAUCAGAAGUGCGAAUGCUGACAUAAGUAACGAUAAAGCGGGUGAAAAGCCCGCUCGCCGGAAGACCAAGGGUUCCUGUCCAACGUUAAUCGGGGCAGGGUGAGUCGACCCCUAAGGCGAGGCCGAAAGGCGUAGUCGAUGGGAAACAGGUUAAUAUUCCUGUACUUGGUGUUACUGCGAAGGGGGGACGGAGAAGGCUAUGUUGGCCGGGCGACGGUUGUCCCGGUUUAAGCGUGUAGGCUGGUUUUCCAGGCAAAUCCGGAAAAUCAAGGCUGAGGCGUGAUGACGAGGCACUACGGUGCUGAAGCAACAAAUGCCCUGCUUCCAGGAAAAGCCUCUAAGCAUCAGGUAACAUCAAAUCGUACCCCAAACCGACACAGGUGGUCAGGUAGAGAAUACCAAGGCGCUUGAGAGAACUCGGGUGAAGGAACUAGGCAAAAUGGUGCCGUAACUUCGGGAGAAGGCACGCUGAUAUGUAGGUGAAGUCCCUCGCGGAUGGAGCUGAAAUCAGUCGAAGAUACCAGCUGGCUGCAACUGUUUAUUAAAAACACAGCACUGUGCAAACACGAAAGUGGACGUAUACGGUGUGACGCCUGCCCGGUGCCGGAAGGUUAAUUGAUGGGGUCAGCGCAAGCGAAGCUCUUGAUCGAAGCCCCGGUAAACGGCGGCCGUAACUAUAACGGUCCUAAGGUAGCGAAAUUCCUUGUCGGGUAAGUUCCGACCUGCACGAAUGGCGUAAUGAUGGCCAGGCUGUCUCCACCCGAGACUCAGUGAAAUUGAACUCGCUGUGAAGAUGCAGUGUACCCGCGGCAAGACGGAAAGACCCCGUGAACCUUUACUAUAGCUUGACACUGAACAUUGAGCCUUGAUGUGUAGGAUAGGUGGGAGGCUUUGAAGUGUGGACGCCAGUCUGCAUGGAGCCGACCUUGAAAUACCACCCUUUAAUGUUUGAUGUUCUAACGUUGACCCGUGAUCCGGGUUGCGGACAGUGUCUGGUGGGUAGUUUGACUGGGGCGGUCUCCUCCUAAAGAGUAACGGAGGAGCACGAAGGUUGGCUAAUCCUGGUCGGACAUCAGGAGGUUAGUGCAAUGGCAUAAGCCAGCUUGACUGCGAGCGUGACGGCGCGAGCAGGUGCGAAAGCAGGUCAUAGUGAUCCGGUGGUUCUGAAUGGAAGGGCCAUCGCUCAACGGAUAAAAGGUACUCCGGGGAUAACAGGCUGAUACCGCCCAAGAGUUCAUAUCGACGGCGGUGUUUGGCACCUCGAUGUCGGCUCAUCACAUCCUGGGGCUGAAGUAGGUCCCAAGGGUAUGGCUGUUCGCCAUUUAAAGUGGUACGCGAGCUGGGUUUAGAACGUCGUGAGACAGUUCGGUCCCUAUCUGCCGUGGGCGCUGGAGAACUGAGGGGGGCUGCUCCUAGUACGAGAGGACCGGAGUGGACGCAUCACUGGUGUUCGGGUUGUCAUGCCAAUGGCACUGCCCGGUAGCUAAAUGCGGAAGAGAUAAGUGCUGAAAGCAUCUAAGCACGAAACUUGCCCCGAGAUGAGUUCUCCCUGACUCCUUGAGAGUCCUGAAGGAACGUUGAAGACGACGACGUUGAUAGGCCGGGUGUGUAAGCGCAGCGAUGCGUUGAGCUAACCGGUACUAAUGAACCGUGAGGCUUAACCUUACAACGCCGAAG